UACGUAGGGCGCAAGCGUUAUCCGGAAUUAUUGGGCGUAAAGAGCUCGUAGGCGGUUUGUUGCGUCGGCCGUGAAAACCUGCAGCUUAACUGUGGGCCUGCGGUCGAUACGGGCAGACUUGAGUUCGGUAGGGGAGACUGGAAUUCCUGGUGUAGCGGUGAAAUGCGCAGAUAUCAGGAGGAACACCGGUGGCGAAGGCGGGUCUCUGGGCCGAUACUGACGCUGAGGAGCGAAAGCGUGGGGAGCGAACAGG
rnacentral:rRNA from 1 species